rnacentral:rRNA from 1 species
UACAGAGGUCUCAAGCGUUGUUCGGAUUCAUUGGGCGUAAAGGGUGCGUAGGUGGCGCGGUAAGUCGGGUGUGAAAUUUCGGAGCUUAACUCCGAAACUGCAUUCGAUACUGCCGUGCUUGAGGACUGGAGAGGAGACUGGAAUUUACGGUGUAGCAGUGAAAUGCGCAGAUAUCAGGAGGAACACCGGUGGCGAAGGCGGGUCUCUGGGCAGUAACUGACGCUGAGGAGCGAAAGCGUGGGGAGCGAACAGG